rnacentral:lncRNA from 1 species
UUAUUUCACACGUUAGAGCAGCAACUCGUGUGAGAGAAUGAAUAAUGAAUAUAGUGGAAGUAUUGUAUUCUCGUGUGUUUCAGGUGAGUUCUUUGAGAAGCAUUCCAUCCUUUAUAUAGGAGUGAUGAGAGGACCGUUAAAGGAUGUUAAUGUUAGAAUCUUGGGCAAUGAUGGAUGAUUAAUGUCAUUAAUCUCUGUGUUCUUUCCAAAACAAUUUUGGGGGGCCAGAAACUUCUUCCUGAAUUAGAUUCUUUCCAUAAAUGGGUUCCUUCAUAGCUAAGUAUUCUGAAUUAGAUGGAUCGAACUUCAGAGUCUCUAUUCAAAAGGGGUAUCAUCAGAUAUAUGCUUGCUGCUGAUUGUCUUCAGAGCUUCCUUUCACUUGAUUUCAUCAUAGCAUAAGUCUUCAAAUUCUAGAGUCAUUCUUCCACUUCAGAGUGUCUGAUGUCUUUUGUUUAGCUUGCACUUGUGUUGAUCAGAGUCAGAGCUUCUGCUUGCGUAUCUUCUAAUCGGUAUCUAAGAACUUGAUUAUGUAUCUGAUGAGUGUCUAUCUGACUAUUUUGAUUAGAGUCCUGCAUACUUAGAAAAAUUUCAUUAGGGUACCAUUUUUGUUUCAUCCUUUGUUAUCAUCAGAAUCUUAGAGAUACAUUGUAGAACUAAAUUUGUUCUUACAAUCUCCCCCUUUUUGAUGAUGACAAAACAAGUCAGAGUGAUUAUGAAACAGUAAAUAAUAUCUCAGAAUCAGAUAAGAACAAGGGACUCCCCCUGAGUUAAAUCAUCAGAUUUCUCAGAAGUUCUUACCAGACCUUCCUUGUGUGGUAGUUGGUUUGUACCUUAGCUGUUAUCCUGUAUAACUUUAGUUUUCAUAAAUCAUUAAGAUAUUAAUGUUCGUAGUGCAUUAAGAGGUUUAGAUAUGUAUUUUCAUCAGAGAUGUUAUAGUUCUCCCCCUUUUUGUCAGAGUCAAAAAGACGUAGAAAGUAAAGCAAGAAACAUAGAUUCAUAUAUAAGAGAGAAGGUUGGUACAGACAGGCAACAAUGAAAGCAUAUAUUAGAAAGCAUAAGAAAAAUAUCAUAAGAAAACAACAAAAAAAGCCUAAGUGCCUAAGGGUUUGGAGGCGGAAGCAUCCUUUGGAGCAGUUGAGUCAGCAGGUUCUGAAUGUUGUUGUUGACGGAGUCCUGGUGAUCCAACCUAGCUCUCACAACUUGUUGUCCCUUUUGCAGUUCCUCUAGAGUUCUCAAUACCAGAGGGGCGAAACCAGAGUUAGAUUGCUCCCCCUGAGUCAGAGCAUCAGCGCUGGCCUUUGUAGCUUCCUCAACAGUAAUGUGUGCUGCUUCUGCAGCUUCGGCUUUAGCUUUUGCCUCAGCUUCAGCAGCAGCCGCAGCAGCAACAACUUCAUCAGCAACCUUCUCUUCAGCUUCUUUGAUUCGUUGCUCUUCUUCUAGGCAAGCUUUCUCUUCUACUUCCUUUCUGGCCUUUUCCUCAGCCUCUCUGACUAAGCGAGCUUGUAGCCUUACUCCAUCGUCUCUGACAAAGUCGUUACGAACUUGUUCAGAGAGGCCUUUCAGUUUGAAGGCUUCAGAGGUCAUCCAUCUAAUCACUAGGUUCCAAUAGAUCCUCACUGCAGAGGGAUCAUCACUGAUGUCAGAGUUGACAGACAGAGACUUGAUCUUCUCCACUGAAGACUCUGCAAAUAAAGUGAUUGCUUCUUCUAAGGUGGGGAAGGCAAGUUCUGGUUCAGAGUUGGAUGAUGGGGAUGGUGGUGGUGUUUGGUUGGUGUCGGCGGGAGUUUGAGUAGGGAUGAUAAUGUCCUCAUAGGUUGGUAUGGUGGGAAUAUCAGAGGGUGGUGGUGUUAUUUGUGCAGGUGGUGUUGUGGGUUGUUGUUUAGAGGGUGGAGUUGCUGGUUAUUCAGACGGUGGUGUUUGUGGUUGUUCAGAUUGGGGUGGAUUAGUUGGUUGUUCAGGGGGUGGUGUUUGAGGUUGUUCAGAUGGAGGUGGAUUUUGUUUUUCAGGGGGUGGAGAGGUGGCUUCUGGUUCAGGUUAUGGUGGUUGCUGUGAGGCAAGAGCACGCGCCUGAAGUUGGGCUAGUGUGGGGGAUUGGGGGUCAGAGGGUUCGGUGUCUGAUGAGAGAAUGUAGUAUGGUGGGGAUGAAGGUGUAAAAGAAGACGGUGAGGUGGUUUCGUUCAACAUUUCUGCUUCAGAAACGGGUAAGGUAGUGGUUGCGAGAUUGAAUUUUAGAGAAGGUAGGUUAGAGGGUUUGGUGGUGGAGGGUGGUGUUUCUGAUUGGGUGUAGAGGGGAGUGGUUUGGGGAAGAGAAGAAGCAAGUGGAUUUAAUUUAACAGAGCGAGAAGGAGGCAGAGACUUACUUGGAGAAUCAUCUAGAGGGACUGGAGGUCUUGACCCAGAAGUUUCUCCCAAUUUAGCCUUCUUGGCCUUCUUUGACUUUUCAGAAGGCUCUCACAUUCUUUUCAUGAAGUUUGGUGGAUGGUCAGGCAGCCAAUCCACCGAGAACUCUGAUAUGUCAACGCCUUGGCUUGCAAGAUCCUUUAGAUAAUGUGCCACCACUUCUGGAGGAUCAAUCUUGGAGAAGAGGUAGAGACCGUUGGGAAUCUUCCUCUGAUCCUUGAGUGCUUCCCAUGAUGUGUCUAGAGUGGGUUUAGCUCUGACUUGCUCAAUCACCCCCAUACUCUUCAGAUUGCGAGCAUUUAGAGGUCUUCCAAUGUCAACAGUGACAUCCUCCAUCAGAUUGUGAUGGAUCAGGUGAUCCACCAGCCCAAUCUCGAUCAGAACAUCAGAGAUGAGUCUUCCCAGAGGAAUGUAGGUUAUGGGCUUCAUAUUGUUUCUAGUAUCCUUGACAAAAUCUUUGAGAUACUUGAAGAGCAACGGUGGCAGGUUUAGUUUUAGCCCUUUGUGAAUGCAAUAGAGGAUGCACUUCUGAUCCGUAUUGAUGUAGUCAGAAGAGUUGGACUCAGGGCGGUGAUGGAUGGUGCCCAGGAUGAUCUUCAGCCAGACUCGGAGGUUCUGGUGAAGUUCCUUGUUCUUGGAGUGUUUACCUCCAGUGUUCUGUUGGAAGAUGGUUGAGGCAAUUUCCUGGGACAAGUACUUUGCCCUAGGGUUGAUGAUGUAGAUUCUUAUUCCCCCUGUCUUCUCCAUGUUCAGAAGGGAGGCGAUUGAUUUCUCAGUGAUUACCAUCUUGACCCCCAGAACGUAUGAGACGAUGUAGUGGUCAUCUGCGUCUACGAAACGCCAGAACUCCUUUACCAGAUAAGUGUACACAGGCCCGUAGAUUCUCUGGAAGUAGGUUUCCCAUCCUUGUAUUCUUAGUUCCUCAGUGAGGUCUAUGACAUUGCGCUUCAUAUUGUCAAAGUCUACCAGUGACUCGCACAACACUUCAAGUUUGUCAAAGGGUGUGGCAAGAUGAAUAUGAGGUUCACGGACUAGAUUGUAAGGUUCUUUGUAGAUUUGGGUAGAAAUGACACCAGUAGUAGCAGUUGUUUGUUGAGAAUAAAUGGGCGUUUGAUCAGUUGAUUCCAUCUCUUGAGAAUAGUUGUAGACGAAUUGUUGUUGAGCAUCCAUGAAGAACUUUGAUGAACUUUGGUUUGAAGAAUGAAGAACUCUGCUGAAGAUGAUGAAGAACUGAUGAAGAUGAUGCACUUGAGAGAGAAGAGGGGUUUGUAUAAGGCGUGAGUGGAAAAGUGUGAGAUUAUGAUAAGUGAAAGUUAUAAAUACACAAAGAGAUGCAUGCAAAAUGACAGUGUUAGAGGCAGUUGAGAGGUUAGGAAAUUAAUGAUGCACAAAAACCAAGUUGACACGGUUAGGGGAGACAUGAUUACAGCCCAUGACGAACGUCUAAUCCCAAGUCAACACACUGCUCGAGGAGAUCUCAAGGGUCUUUCUCUUGAUUUCUGCUAGACAGUUGUCUAGAAGAUCCAAAGUCAGACGCAUGAUGCCCCACGUGUUGAUCUAUCUGAUCUUUAGGAAUACCAAGGGAUUGGAUCCUGAGGAUUUCUAAUUCAGAUGACUCCUAACUGGUAGAAGUAUCAAAGUCAGAUCCAGAUACCAGAUGUUUAUUUCAGAGCCUUAUUUUUGCUAUUUCAGAGAAGCACGUUUGGUUUAUUCCGGGCAAAUUUCAAUUUUUAAAUGUUUCAGAAUAAAUGGGAAUCUGUCUUCAGCAAGAGGUUUAGUGAAAAUAUCAGCCCAUUGAUGGUCUGUAUCAAUAAAUUGUAAGGAUAUUACCCCUUUCUGAACAUAGUCUCUGAUAAAAUUAUGUUUUAUUUCUGUGAUUAGCUCUGGAAUGCAAGAUAGGGUUCUUACUUAAACAUGUGGCAGCAGUAUUAUCACAGAAGAUAGGAACGUUACUCUCAAAGAUCUGAAGGUCUUCUAGUUGAUUUUUCAUCCAGAGCAUCUGAGUAGUGCAAAGUGAAGCUGAUAUAUAUUAUGCUUUUGCAGUAGACAGAGCGGUGGUUGAUUGUCUUUUGCUAGCCCAUGAUAUUAGAUUGUUUCCCAAGAACUGACAGUUCCCAGAUGUACUUUUACGUUCCAUUUUGUCCCCUGCAUAAUCUGCAUCGUAAUAACCAAAGAGCCUAUACUCUGAUGUUUUCUCAUACAUCAGGCCAAGGUUAGAGGUUCCUUUCAGAUACCUUAGGAUUCUUUUAACAACUGUUAAAUGAGAUUCCCUAGAAUCUAAUUGGAAUUUGGCACAAAGACAUACACUAAAAAGAAUAUCAGGGUGUGUAGCUGUCAGAUAGAGAAGAGAGCCUAUCAUACCACGAUAGAGCUUUUGACAAACCUUCUGGCUAACUUCUUCUUUCUCCAGAAUGCAGGUUGGAUGCAUGGGUGUCUUGGCAGGUUUGCAUUCUUCCAUUUCGAAUUUAUUCAAAAUGUCUUUUAUGUAUUUACUUUGAUAUACAUAAGUAGCUUCUAAAGCUUGAUUGAUUUGAAUUCCCAAAAAGAACUUAGUUCUUGAAUUAAGCUCAUUUCAAAUUCUGCAUGCAUCAACUCAGAGAAUUCUUGACAUACAUAGGGGUUAGCUGAGCCAAAAAUAAUGUCAUCAACAUAUAUCUGGCAUAUCAUGAGAUCAUUAUUAAUGUUUUUACAGAAGAGUGUAGAGUCAACCUUUCCUCUAAUAAAGUCAUGUUCCAGGAGAAAGUUGCUUAGUCUUUCAUACCAAGCUCUAAGCGCUUGUUUUAGACCAUACAAUGAUUUUUUUCAGUUUAAAAACGUGUUCUAGACAUUUAGAGUUUUCAAAACCUCAAGGUUGAUGAACAUACACUUCUUCUGAUAUAUAACCAUUAAGAAAUGCGUUCUUGACAUCCAUUUGAUAUAAUUUGAUGGAAUGAUUUAUAGCGAAGGAAACAAGUAAACGAAUGGAUUCUAACCUGGCGACUACAGCAAAGGUUUCAUUGUAGUCAAUGCCUUCUUUUUUAUUGUAACCUUGUGCCACCAGUCGUGCUUUAUUUCUAACUACUUCUCUUUUUUCGUUCAGUUUGUUUCUGAAUACCCAUUUUGUAUCAAUAAUAUGAGUUCCUUUAGGCUUUGGGACAAGAUCCCAGACGUCAUUCUUUGAGAAUUGAUCUAGUUCUUAUUUCAUUGCCAUAACCCAGUCAUUGUCUUAAAGUGCCUCAUCACAGGAAGUAGGCUCGAUCAGAGAUACUAAUCCCAGAGGAGUUUCUUCAGAUACUUUGAAUGUUGACCUGGUUCUGACAGGUUCAUCCUUGUUUCCCAGAUGUUAGGUCGAUUUCUUGAUCUUUUCUGGAUAGUUGAGAUUUCAGUUGCAUCUGGACUUUCUUUCUUAUUUUCUUCUGAUGCUUUAGUCUUUUCGUUAGAGCCUGCAAGAGUUAUCUCAAAAUCUGCAAGUUUCUUAACUAGCUUUGACUUUCCAGGGUCAAGCUUAUCAUCAAAUCUAACAUGUAUUGAUUCUUCCAUAAUUUUGGUUUCUGUGUUGUAUACUCUGUAGCCUUUAGAGUGUUUUGAAUAUCCUAACCUAAUACCUUUUUGGGCUUUAAUAUCAAACUUGUUCAGAUGUUCCUUAGUAUUAAGAAUAAAACAUGAGCAUCCAAAAGGAUGGAAGUAAGAAAUGUUGGGUUUUCUUCCCUUACACAGACCAUAGGGAGUCUUCUCCAGAAUAGGUCUUAUAGAGAUUAUAUUCUAAAUAUAACACGUUGUAUUUACUGCUUCAGCCUAAAAGUGCUUAGCCACAUUUGUUUCAUUGAUCAUGGUCCUGGCCAUUUCUUGGAGUGUCAUAUUCUUCCUUUCUACAACUCCAUUUUGUUGUGAAGUUCUAGGGCAGGAGAAAUCAUGGGAUAUUCCAUUAGAAUCAAAUAGUUCUUCAAAGAACUUAUUUUCAAAUUCGCCACCAUGAUCACUUCUGACUCUGAUAAUUCUAGAGUCAAAUUCAUUUUGCACUUUAGAACAGAAGCUAGUGAAUACAGAGUGAGACUCACUCUUGUGCUUUAGGAAUUUUACCCAUGUCCAGCGACUAAAAUCAUCAAUAAUGACCAGUCCAUACUUCUUUCCAUUGACUGACGCUGUCUUAACAGGCCCAAAAAGGUCAAUGUGAAGAAGUUCCAAAGGCUUAGAGGUGGAAAUAAUAUUUUUCUUUUUAAAAGAUGUUUUAGCAAAUUUUCCUUUUUGACAUGCCUCACACAGAGCAUCUGAAGAAAACUUCAGCUUAUGUAGACCUCUGAUUAACUCGAGUUUAUUUAGCUGAGAGAGUUUUCUCAUGCUAAUGUGGCCCAAGCGUCUAUGCCAUACCCAUUGCUCUCCGUGAACAGACAUCAACUAUUUUACAUUUUGAUCUUUUAGAUCUGAAAGAUUUAUUUUGUAAAUGUUGUUUUUUCUCUUGCCAGUGAAUAGAACUAUUCCAUUGUUCUGAUUAAUUGAUUUACAUCUUUUUUUAUUAAAGAUUAUAUCAUAACCAUUAUCACUUAAUUGGCUUAUUGAUAACAGGUUAUGCAUUAAUCAUUCUACAUAGAGAAUAUCAUAUAUAAAGGGAAGAGAUCCAUUACCAAUAGUUCCGGAGCCUCUGAUUCUACCUUUCUGAUUUCCUUCGAAACCUACGAAGCCAGCAUCUUUAAGUUUUAGGCUUUGGAACAUAUGCUUUCUUCCUGUCAUGUGUCGCAAGCAUCCAGAGUCCAGGUACCAUGAGUGGUGUCUUAACUCUGUUGCAUAAGAUAUCUGCAACAUAAACAAUCUUAUUCUUUGGUACCCAGAAUCUUUUGGGUCCUUUGUGAUUAUUUUCCCAGAGUUUCUUAGAACUUUGGGUUUUCUAGCAUUAGUAAAAUGUUGUGUUUGUGCAUGCGUGUAGUGAUAAGAGAAAGGAGAUUUGGGUUUGUCAUAUGUAGAAGAUUUAUCUUCACUAGGAUCAUACCAUAUUCCUCUUUUAUUGUUCUGACUGACUCCAUAAAUCAUGGAUGCCAUUCUGCUUCUUUCUAUCCCAUUUUUCAGAAAAUUUUGAAAGGAUUUUUCAUAUUUAUAUAUCAUUGUGUUAGAAGUUUGUGGGGCUUGAGAUAAAGUUUCUUCAAGUUUUAAGCAUUGUUUAUUUGUGGAGUCUCUUUCUUUUAUCAGAGUUAGAUUUUCAUCUUUUAAUUCAGAAACUGUUAUCUCAAGCUUAUCACAUUCUUCGAUGGUUCCUUCAAGAACCCUUUUUAGUGCUUUAAAUUUUUGUUUAAGUUUCUGAUAUGAGUUCAAAGAUUCAGGAAGGCAUGAUUCAAGGUCAGAGUGAGAAAGAUCAGAAAAUACCUCUUCAGGAUCAAACUCUCCAUAUGAUGUGUUUCCGGAAGUGGUAGCCAUGAAUGCAACAUUUGCCUGUUCUUCAGAGUCUGAUUCAGAAGAAACAGAUCCACUGUCUUCCCAGGUGGCCAUGAGUCCCUUAGCUUUAAAGGAGCUUUUCUUGAAACUUUCACUUCUGGAGCUUUCUUUCUUCAGCUUUGGGCAUUCGUUUCUGUAAUGACAUGUUUCCUUACAUUCAUAGCAUGUUACCUCUUUGUUUGAUUUGCCUCUGGAAGUUGAUUCUGAGCGAUCUCCCUUAGGUCUUGGUCUUUUGAAGUUAUUAUUACUUUUUCUCCAGAGUUGUUUUACUCUUCUGGUUAAAAGGGACAACUCGUCUUCAUCGUCAGAGUCUUCUUUUUCAGAGUCGUCAUUGUCUUCCUCUUCAGCUUGGAAGGCUUUGUUCCUUUCUGGUUUGCAUCUCUCAGAUAUGGACUUUAGUGCUACAUAUUUGUUCUUCCUUUGAGGCUCAUCUUCCUCAAGCUCUAUCUCGUGACUUUUGAGGGAGCUAACUAGUUCUUCAAGGCUGAUGUUAUUCAGAUCCUUUGACAAUUUCAAUGCGGUGACCAUGGGUCUCCACUUCUUUGGUAAACUUCUGACAAUAUUUUUGACGUGAUAUGCAGUUGUGUAGCCUUUGUCCAGGACCUUAAGUCCUACAAUUAAAGUUUGAAAUCUAUAAAACAUUACCUCUAUAGCUUCAGCGUCCUCCAUCUUGAAAGCUUCGUACUUCUGAAUUAGAGCCAGAGCCUUUGUCUCUCUGACUUGUGAAUUUCCUUCCUGAGUCAUCCUUAGGGAGUCAAGUAUUUCUUUAGUUGUUUCCCUGUUGGUCAUCUUUUCAUAUUCAUUGUAGGAAAUGGCAUUCAGCAGUAUUGUUCUGGCUUUGUGAUGGUUUUUGAAGUCGCGCUUCUGAUCAUCUGUCAUCUUGUUUUUGGCAAUGACAACGCCAGCUUCAGAUACAGGAGGUAUGUAGCCAAUAGUAACUAUGUCCCACAGAUCAGCAUCGUAGCCCAGAAAGAAACUUUCGAUUCUAUCUUUCCAGUAAAAAAAAUUCUCCAUCAAAGAUUGGAGGUUUAGCAUUGUAACUAUCUCUUUCAUUUGUGUUGGCCAUAGUGUUUUUCUCACGCUAGAUCUCUCUACAAUGUUAAGUGUUUGAUUAGAAAAUUGAUAACAGAGUCGAAGCUCUGAUACCAAUUGAAGGUAGAGAAAAACAAGAAAGGGGGGGUUGAAUUGUUUUGAGAAAAUAAAACUUUUUGAAAUUUAGACACACGCAUAAACAAAUAAAUUCAACACAGAAUUUUAUACUGGUGAUUCCAAAGCUACUCCAGUCCACCCGGCCAAGGUGAUUUCGCCUUCAAAAAGGACUUAAUACACUAAUCUUGAAAGAUUACACGAACAAUCAUCUAAGAGAAUAAAGAUCUUUUAGCCCUCUCAAAUUUACAGACUUCACAAGUCACUUGAGGAAAUUUCUUAGCAAUAUAAUAUGAUUACAAUAAUGAUUAGUGCUUCUAAAAUAAGCAGAAAUUACACAAUGUAAGAGCAAAGAAUUAUUUCACACGUUAGAGCAGCAACUCAGGUGAGAGAAUGAAUAAUGAAUAUAGUGGAAGUAUUGUAUUCUCGUGCGUUUCAGGUGAGUUCUUUGAGAAGCGUUCCAUCCUUUAUAUAGGAGUGAUGAAAGGAUCGUUGAAGGAUGUUAAUGUCAGAAUCUUGGGCAAUGAUGGAUGAUUAAUGUUAUUAAUCUAUGUGUUCUUUCCAAAACAAUUUUGGGGUGCCAUAAACUUCUUCCUGAAUUAGAUUCUUUCCAUAAGUGGGUUCCUUCAUAGCUAAGUAUUCUGAAUUAGAUGGAUUGAACUUCAGAGUCUCUAUUCAAAAAGGGUAUAAUCAGAUAGAUGCUUGUUGUUGAUUGUCUUCAGAGCUUCCUUUCACUUGAUUUCAUCAUAGCGUAAGUCUUCAAAUUCUAGAGUCAUUCUUCCACUUCAGAGUGUCUGAUGUAUUUUGUUUAUCUUGUGCUUGCGUUGAUCAGAGUCAGAGCUUCUGCUUACGUAUCUUCUAAUCGGUAUAUUAGAACUU